rnacentral:rRNA from 1 species
CCUACGGGCGGCAGCAGUGAGGAAUAUUGGUCAAUGGACGAGAGUCUGAACCAGCCACGUAGCGUGAAGGAUGACUGCCCUAUGGGUUGUAAACUUCUUUUAUAUGGGAAUAAAAUGUUCCACGUGUGGGAUUUUGUAGGUACCAUAUGAAUAAGGAUCGGCUAACUCCGUGCCAGCAGCCGCGGUAAUACGGAGGAUCCGAGCGUUAUCCGGAUUUAUUGGGUUUAGAGGGAGCGUAGGUGGAUUGUUAAGGCAGUUGUGAAAGUUUGCGGAUCAACCGUAAAAUUGCAGUUGAAACUGGCAGUCGUGAGUACAGUAGAGGUGGGCGGAAUUCGUGGUGUAGCCGUGAAAUGCUGAGAUAUCACGAAGAACUCCGAUUGCGAAGGCAGUUCACUGGACUGCAACUGACACUGAGGCUCGAAAGUGUGGGUAUCAAACAGGAUUAGAUACCCUAGUAGUC